rnacentral:rRNA from 1 species
GACAGAGGUGCCGAGCGUUAGGCGGAAUCACUGGGCUUAAAGCGUGUGUAGGCGGGCCGUUAAGUGUCUUGUGAAAUCCCCCCGGCUCAACCGGGGGAAUUGCUGGGCAUACUGGCGGUCUUGAGCGAUCUAGGGGCAGAUGGAACAAGUGGUGGAGCGGUGAAAUGCGUAGAUAUCACUUGGAACGCCAAAGGUGAAGACAGUCUGCUGGGGAUCUGCUGACGCUGAGACACGAAAGCCAGGGGAGCGAACGGG